UGAAAAUAUAUUUCAGUCAUAGAAUAAAUGUAUGUACGUUCUGUUACUAUUAUCAAAGACUAUAAUAUUAAUAUGUAUUAUUUAAUAAUGGAAUAUCUAUCAUAUGUAGCAUUUAUAUUUACUGUAUUAAAUGCAUGUAAAUAUUACAUCAAAUAUUAAAUAUUAUUUAUUAAUAAUAUAUAUUGAUAUUAAAUGUUUAUAUUACAUCUAAAUAUUUAUUAUAUGUAUGUAUAUAUUACAAUUAUUGUACAAAUAUGUACGCUCACUAGGUUUUCUUGCUGUUCUUUUCCUACAGCACCGGAUGGAACUGGCGUUCUUGGGCUGCCGGCCAUAAUCAGUGACAGAGCCAAAAUUCUGAUUGCUAGGGUCUCCCUCUCAUCAGACCAACCCAGCAUGUUGAGCUCUGCUAGACUGCUGUGCUCUGCCAUUGUUAGUGAGAUACAGGAUAUCCCUGAAGGGAAGAGACAGCUAAAAAAUAUCAGACCUAAUCAACAUUGUUUGUUAACAAACAGAGACUGAAAUGGCAAACAGGAGAACAAAAGCAUUUUUGGUGGCAGCACAGAAGAAUCAGUGACAGAUUAAAGAGUUAAUCCUCUUGAGUAUCUGUGGGUCCGACACCCCACGUCAGGAUGAAUUCCUCUCAACACUGCGCAAGACAAUAGAGGCAGAGUCAACAGCACAGAUAUAGACCUCAUGCUUUCAAGACAGGGCCACACACACAAAACUCUUUCUGUGUACAUUUAUUCAAGAAAUAGCUAUAAGCACUUGCAAAAGUGCCUGUCAAAUUCCAUUAGAAUAUUGCAAAGAUGAGACCAAAGAUGAAAAUGUACUUGCUCGUUUUGAAAAUUUCAAUGAAAGAAACAAAAUAUCUAUGGAGAAAUUUGACAUUUGUUAUAACUGUCCUGUAUUUUGAUGGAAGUUAUUUCUAAUAGUUUUCAGGUUUUCAAAUCCUUUCCCCCCCCUCGGUUUAUUUUAAUUUUCUCUACGUGAACAGAUUGUAUCAGACAAUUACAGAUAUAAUUCAUUAAUAUCAUUAGGUAUAUAAAUAUAUCACCAAAUAUGUAUUCUUUUUAUUGUUUUGAUGAAAAGGUCCAUGCCACAAAGAAUCAGAACAAAGUUACUUCCAAGCAGGGUAAUUACAAUACUGGAUAUUUACACAUGGACAGCAUUCUACAUAAAGUAAAAACAAAAGAAAAGAGAACAAUGAAAUAAUAACAGUAGUACACACAGUGUAAGCAAAAACAGCAGCGAUAAAAAUAAAGAAAUAAUAAUAACCGUAAUGAUGAUAUGA
ensembl:lncRNA